UGGCUCAGCAACGAAACGCUGGCGGCAGGCUUAACACAUGCAGGUNCGAGCGGGCCAUAGCAAUAUGUCUAGCGGCANGACGGGAUGAGUAACGCAGUGGGAACGUACCUUNUUGGUUUCGGAACAACUGGAGGGAANACUUCAGCUAAUACCGGAUAAGCCCUUACGGGGAAAGAUUUAUCGCCGAAAGAUCGGCCCGCGUCUGAUUAGCUAGUUGGUGAGGUAAUGGCUCACCAAGGCGACGAUCAGUAGCUGGUCUGAGAGGAUGAUCAGCCACAUUGGGACUGAGACACGGCCCAAACUCCUACGGGAGG
rnacentral:rRNA from 1 species